GAUCCUGGCUCAGAUUGAACGCUGGCGGCAUGCCUUACACAUGCAAGUCGAACGGCAGCACGGGAGCAAUCCUGGUGGCGAGUGGCGAACGGGUGAGUAAAGUAUCGGAACGUACCUUUCAGUGGGGGAUAACGUAGCGAAAGUUACGCUAAUACCGCAUAUUCUGUGAGCAGGAAAGCAGGGGAUCGCAAGACCUUGCGCUGAUUGAGCGGCCGAUAUCAGAUUAGCUAGUUGGUGGGGUAAAGGCCUACCAAGGCGACGAUCUGUAGCGGGUCUGAGAGGAUGAUCCGCCACACUGGAACUGAGACACGGUCCAGACUCCUACGGGAGGCAGCAGUGGGGAAUUUUGGACAAUGGGGGCAACCCUGAUCCAGCCAUGCCGCGUGAGUGAAGAAGGCCUGG
rnacentral:rRNA from 1 species